GGGGCUGCCACCUGCUCAUCUGAAGAUAAAGCACCUUGAAGACACGCAUUCAAAGCUGUGCUGUGCUGGUGCCAAUUAUUGACUGAAUCCUUGAAUAUUUAGGCUACACAGUAACAUUAUAUUUUGAAGAUUUGAAUAAACCCAAAACCUAGUGUUACAUCAAA